ensembl:lncRNA
GUGGACUGGAGGCAUGCUGCCCAAGAUGGCUGACUUUGAAGACUAUUUUCUGUUCAUAUUGGAUAACUACUUCAGGAUUUAUGUUUGGCCCUGUAGCAUAACGGAGAAAUUGGAGUUACACCAGCUGUGGAUAAAUGGACUUCUAUGCUUCCUGUUGGACGUUGGUCGAGGUAAUUACGCAGCAGUGCGCCUUGUGUGGAGUGAGCGUUAGCACGAGACCAGUGACAUCAACAGCGGCCCAGGAGGAGGACAGCGUUCGGCUCAGAUGGUGCGGUGAGUUUUCCCCUC